UACGUAGGUGGCAAGCGUUAUCCGGAUUUAUUGGGCGUAAAGGGAACGCAGGCGGUCUUUUAAGUCUGAUGUGAAAGCCUUCGGCUCAACCGGAGUAGUGCAUUGGAAACUGGGAGACUUGAGUGCAGAAGAGGAGAGUGGAACUCCAUGUGUAGCGGUGAAAUGCGUAGAUAUAUGGAAGAACACCAGUGGCGAAAGCGGCUCUCUGGUCUGUAACUGACGCUGAGGUUCGAAAGCGUGGGUAGCAAACAGG
rnacentral:rRNA from 1 species